rnacentral:rRNA from 1 species
GAUGAACGCUAGCGGCAGGCCUAAUACAUGCAAGUCGAACGGUAGAUUACUUUCGGGUAAUUGAGAGUGGCGCACGGGUGCGUAACGCGUAUGCAACCUACCCUAUACAGGGGGAUAGCCCGGAGAAAUCUGGAUUAAUACCCCAUGGUACCAAGUUGAGGCAUUUUGAUUUGGUUAAAGAUUCAUCGGUAUAGGAUGGGCAUGCGUCUGAUUAGCUAGUUGGCGGUGUAACGGACCACCAAGGCGACGAUCAGUAGGGGUUCUGAGAGGAAGGUCCCCCACACUGGCACUGAGAUACGGGCCAGACUCCUNACGGGAGGCAGCAGUAGGGAAUAUUGGGCAAUGGACGAGAGUCUGACCCAGCCAUGCCGCGUGCAGGAAGACGGCGUUCUGCGUUGUAAACUGCUUUUAUCUGGGAAGAAAAGGCCCAUGCGUGGGACAUUGCCGGUACCAGAUGAAUAAGCACCGCUAACU